GAAAGCUGUGUAGCAAUCAUUCCAUUGCUGACCCAUAGGAUGGUAAUCACAUACAUGAUUGGCUUCAUCUAGAAUCAUGGAUACCUUUCAUACCUUCUCAUCACAAGUUGGAACUAGGUGUCAACAUUGGGACAAUGCAGCCAUAAAUAACAUGGACCAAUAUUUUCAUGGAGUGAGCAAGACCUGCCAGCAGAGCUCACUUGAGCAGGGAGACAUGCCGUCAUCCUUUUGGCGCCUGACAAA